CAGCAGUCKCRGUAAUACGGAGGAUCCGAGCGUAWUCCGGAUUAUYSRGUUCAAAGGKGSGUAGGKGUUYGAUAMGUCAGCGGKGAAAGUYGCASCUUAACUGUARAAAUGCCGUUGAAACUGUCGGACUUGAGUGUAAAUGAGGUAGGCGGAAUGCGUGGYGUAGCGSKGAAAUGCAUAGAUAUCACGCAGAACUCCGAUUGCGAAGGCAGCUUACUAAGCUACWWCUGACASUGAAGCACGAAAGCGUGGGGAUCAAACAGGAUUAGAUACCCUGGUAGUCCACGCASUAAACGAUGAUUACUAGCUGUUUGYGAUACACAGUAAGCGGCACAGCGAAAGCGUUAAGUAAUCCACCUGGGGAGUWCGCCGGCAWCGGUGAAACUCAAAGGAAUUGACGGGGGCCCGCACAAGCGGAGGAACAUGUGGUUUAAUUSGAUGAUACGCGAGGAACCUUACCCGGGUUUGAACGUAGGGAGACAGGGGUGGAAACAUCCUUUUCAGCAAUGACUGCCUACGAGGUGCUGCAUGGUUGUCGUCAGCUCGUGCCGUGAGGUGUCGGCUUAAGUGCCAUAACGAGCGCAACCCUUAUUUCCAGUUACUAACAGGUGAUGCUGAGGACUCUGGAGAGACUGCCAGCGUAAGCUGUGAGGAAGGUGGGGAUGACGUCAAAUCAGCACGGCCCUUACAUCCGGGGCGACACACSUGUUACAAUGGUAAGGACAAAGGGCAGCUACCGGGCGACCGGAUGYGAAUCUCUAAACCUUAUCUCAGUUCGGAUCGGAGUCUGCAACUCGACUCCGUGAAGCUGGAUUCGCUAGUAAUCGCGCAUCAGCCAUGGCGCGGUGAAUACGUUCCCGGGCCUUGUACACACCGCCCGUCAAGCCAUGGGAGCCGGGGGUACCUGAAGUUCGUAACCGCAAGGAUCGACCUAGGGUAAAACUGGUGACUGGGGSUAAKUYGURRCAAGGUAACC
rnacentral:rRNA from 1 species